GGCGCUGGGGGUGGAGUGGGCGUGCAGCAGCGGAGCCCGGCACCUCCCACCCGGGGGCGGCCGGGACGCCCCGCUCCGCGGACACCUGCGCCCAAAGCCGAGCGGCGGCUGGAAUCUGCGCCCGGAAAUCAGGGUCAGUGGUUUUAGCCACAAGGAGACCAAGCGCAACUCUGUCUUCUGUCCCCCGGCUAGUGACAAAAGUCCUGAACUCCUAGGGUGACUUGCUGGAGUGAGUCGUCAUUCUGCAGAAGUCAAAUUUGACCCAGAGUCAAGUGCAAUCUGAAGCCAGCGAUCCUUCUGACUCCUCACCAGGUCAACAGUAGCCUAAAUGUGUCACAACACCUACAUUAUCCUUUUCCCUUCUCAUCACUAGACAUUUUAUCAUCUCACCUCAUCCCAAGGAGAAGGGAACCUCCCCAUGGAGCUGUUUGAACGUCUUCAUGGCACUGCAGCUGGUUUUCUCCACAGCAAGUGAACCAAGAGACUGCAUGGUAGAAGCCACAAAAUCUUUAAUGACCUAACAUCAGAAGUCACACUGUGAUUUCUCUAACAGUCUGUUGGUUAGACCUGUUAGCCCUACUUGAUGUGGAAAGAGAUGAUAGAAAUGAGAAUCACUGGGGGUAUUUUGGAGACUGGCUAUGACAAACCCUUAAUCCCAAUGUCCAUACUUAACAGUCUGUAAAUGACAU